AUUAAUGCCACUGAUUGGCCAUCAAUUGAAAUCACCUGGUGUCCCAGCUUUAAAUCAGUCCUGAUUAUAGGGGAAGAAGGAGAACCAGCAGCAGUACAGGGCUGGAUUUGAGCUUCACAGGUUUGGAGUACAACCAAAGGCAGAUGUCCCAGCUAAGGAGUUCUGCAAACACGCUGCGGAAUGACAGGCAGUUUAAAGGGACGUCCACAUCCACACGCGACUUGGAGAUGAACGCUGCAGUUGAAAGGCUUUUGCUGAAUGAACGGGGCCUUUCCAGAUUCCACACGCCCAUACCUGCUGAUAGCUUCUUAAAGUCCAAACAAAGGUGUACAGAUAAAAUUUCACCUACCAAGAUCUUGUUUCUGAGAAUAAUAGCCUUCCUGCCAGCGAAUGGCUCUUUGUUUAGAAGCAGAACUGAGCCCGUGCUGGGCGGGGCCCCUGACGGAACCUCUGAUCAACUGUAAACACCGCUGAUAACUGAAACUUUGAAAUCCCACCGUUUGUUAGUUUUUAUUGCCCUGUAGAUUUGAGAGGCCCCGGGCGGCGCUCCUGCCAACAGAAACUGGGCCGUGCGACGGGCCGCUGAGAUCUGCGUGUUUAGCCCGAGCCAUAAAUAGUUUGCCUUGGCCUUGUGUCAGAGAUCAAAGAACGCCAGGAAUCCAGGGCCUUCCUGGGACUGAGCAUGUGAUGCGUGCAUGUUACACUGUUGCCAUGGUGAGGAUCUCCUGGGUUCCAUCUGGGGGCACUCAUCUGAAGAAUUAUAUAUUUUUUGAAAAUACUGAAUUGAAUUGCUUUUAAGAUUAUUUGUCUUGCAAAUAUGGAUGUAUAUAAGCCAUGCAUCUUUUUCAUUUGAGAUAAGUAGACACUUUAAAAAUGUAUAAAUAUUUAUUUUGUAUUCACCAGCCCAGCAUUUGUCCACAUUUAUCCAAAUUGGAAGUGAGUGACUAUUUUGGUUUUCCUUACAGUUGGUUUUAAAUAUGAUACUUUGAUAAUAGGUGAUAAACCUAAGAAGCACACUAACUUCACAGCAACUAUUUUUUUUGUGGCAAAUGUAACUGUGGUUUUGAAAUACAGAUUUGUUAUAUUGUACUGGCUAUUCAUG